AUGGGCAGCAGGUCAUCUGCCCCGCUGCGACAACAGCGGCCAUCAGCCACGGUGGCCACAGGGACCGGCACGCCAACACCUCAUCGUGCAGCUCCUGGGGACACGCAGCACCGGCCACAGGCGCCCACAGCCCCACACCUGCCCCACAUCGCCCAGCCUGCUCCGCAGUUCCUGCACUCACAUGGCGGCCGCGGCGAGGCUCCGGGCGUCGCGGGUGCCGCAGUACUCCUCGGCACACUCGCAGAUGCCGCGCAGGGCCCGCACUGCGGCACAGGGCGGGCGUCAGGGUCACCGUGGCCAGCCCUGGGCCCCAGCCCCGCGUCCCCAGCGUCGCUCACCGAUGCACUCCAGCUUCCUGCGGGGACAGGUCUCCAGCGGGAUGAGGCGCAGGUCCUGCACGGCCGAGGCGUACGCGGGCCGGCCGGCGCCGGGCGGGAAGAGGCGCGAGGCCAGCCCCAUGUCGGCGGGGCCGGCGUGCCGGUGCCGCUCCAUGCUGCGCGCCAGGGCCGCCUCGCGGGGCUGCUGCACGGUCCUGCGGGCACGGAGGUGAUGGAGGUGCCAGGAAGGGAUCAGUGGUACCCUCCAAGGUGGGUCGUAGUACCUGUAGAGAGCCAGGAGCGGGGCCCACAGCGGGGGGAAGAAAGCCUCCUCCAGGCAGGCCAGGCACUGGUCCUUGCCGGCGGCGGUGCCGAGCCCCUCGAAGGCCAGCAGAGUCAGAGCCAGCAGCCUGUCUGGGAAGGGCGAGGCACGUGGCACACUGGGAUCCCCCAUCCUGCCCACCCUGUGCACCGGGGUGCAGGAGAGCCCCCCGCCCGCCCCCCAGUCCCCGGCUGUCCCUCACCGAUGGCAUUGUGGAUGUCCCUCACGACGCCCUUCAGCAGCUCCGGCAGUGCUGUGUCCUCUGCGGAGCUAGCCGGGGGCUCUGCGGGGGCCCAGCCCUCGGGGGACGCCAGGAACCGCUCCAGGUCCUCGAAGGAGCUCUCCCGGGGGGUCUCGGGGGGCUCGGGGGGCCCCGGGGUGCCGCUGUCGGCGAGGGGGGUGCUGGACUGGCUGUGGCGCAGCGCGGCCGGGCCGUGCUCGGGCACCGAGAACAUGCAGUGCAGGCUGCGGGACGCCCGGAGCCGGCGGCCCCCCGGCUCGGGGGGCAGCGAGGAGCCCCCGGCGUCCAGCGACAGGAAGGACAGACCCGAGGGGGAGGCAGGGGAGGCGUCGGCGGGGCCGCGGCUGACGGCCGGGUAG
rnacentral:lncRNA from 1 species